GUCUCUGGGUGUUCGUAUUCUGGAAAGAGAGAUUUCCAACCUCUUGCAUCCCCUCCUCUAGGGCUCAUGGGACCUCUGGUUCUGAAUGCAUAUUCCCCUAAAAUCAAAGAACUUGAAGACUGAAAAAGACCAUGGUUAUUGUCAACUUAAGUGGUCUCCAAGAUGGGCUAUAAGACACCAGAUUGAAGUGAGACCUUAGUGGCUGACAGAGAACCUAAACCCUGGCUUGCAACUCGAGGCUGUGUGAAAGGAAUCGGAACUUACUUCUCACGGUGACUCGAAUCCACGUGCUGAGGAUGGGGCUGUGAACGUUAUCAGCUGCACAGUAGUAUCUCCCUGCAUCACUCUCCUUCACGGGCAUAAGAAACCCACAGCCAAUAUCAUACUGAAUGAGCAAAAGCUGGAAGCAUUCCCCUUGAAAACCGGCCCAAGACAAGGAUACCCUCUCUUACCACUCCUAUUCAACAUAGGAUUGGAAGUUCUGGCCAGGGCAAUCAGGCAAGAGAAAGAAAUAAAGGUAUUCAAACAGGAA
rnacentral:lncRNA from 1 species